UCUCUAAGUUAAACUUAGAGAGAGAAGCUCUCCCUUCUCUCUAAAAAACGUCACCGGAGAAGAUGAGGAGGGGUGGCCGGAGCUGCUCCGGCGCGGUGGUCGGCCAUAGCGCCGCCGCGUCGGAGCUUUUUUUUUUAUUUUUUUUUGAAAUUUUUUUACAUCAAAAGCUUCUUCUCCUUCUCCUCUAUACAAAUCCGGUGUUAUUUUUAAAAAGGGUAGAGAGAUUUGAGCUAGAUCUAGCAAAGAAAGUUUGAGUGAAAUUACCUUCGGUUUCAAAACGGAGAAGACCGGAUCUACUACUUUAAGCUCGGAUUCACUUCCUUCUUGCUAAAUUCCUCCGAUCUAGCUCGAAUCCGGUCCGAUUUGCUUCCCUUUUUGCUCCGGUUCGGUUCGUUUCUUUUACCUCUCCUUGAUCUUGCUCGAUCCGAGUUGUUGUUGAUAUGAGGAACAGAUGCGUUCUUCUUCUCUUCCAGUUCGGUUUCGAUUUGUUUGUGUUAUGUGUUGAUUUGAGUUGGUUUUGUGGAUUUGUGGUGUUUAUGUUGAUUUCUGGAAGAAAAAAAAAAGUUAUGAGGACUAUUCAUGAAUAUUCAUGAGUGUUGUUGGUGAUGUUCAUAUUUUUUGUGAUUUUUGGUAUUUGAUUCGUAUUUGGAAUGAGAGAGAAAUGGGAAAGUGUUUGUAUUGAUUUGAGGGACUGAUUUGACUCCGAUUCUGACGCGGCUACAGUGAAUUUUCAGACCCUCUUCCCAAUGAUUGGACAGUGUAUUUAUAGUGACCAAAUAGGGUUGGCUCCGGUAC
rnacentral:lncRNA from 1 species